GUGAGGAAUUUUCCGCAAUGGGCGAAAGCCUGACGGAGCAAUGCCGCGUGAAGGAUGAAGGCCUAUGGGUUGUAAACUUCUUUUCUCAGAAAAGAAUUAUGACGGUAUCUGAGGAAUAAGCAUCGACUAACUCUGUGCCAGCAGCCGCGGUAAGACAGAGGAUGCAAGCGUUAUCCGGAAUGAUUGGGCGUAAAGCGUCUGUAGGUUGUUUAAAAAGUAUUCUGUCAAAGAUUAGGGCUUAACCCUAGAUAGGCAGAAUAAACUUUUAAGCUAGAGUUUGGUAGAGGCAGAGGGAAUUCCCGGUGGAGCGGUGAAAUGCGUAGAUAUCGGGAGGAACACCAAAGGCGAAGGCACUCUGCUGGGCCAAUACUAACACUGAGAGACGAAAGCGAGGGGAGCAAAUGGGAUUAGAUACCCGAGUAGUCC
rnacentral:rRNA from 1 species